AUUGAACGCUGGCGGAAUGCUUUACACAUGCAAGUCGAGCGGCAGCGCGGGGCAACCUGGCGGCGAGCGGCGAACGGGUGAGUAAUGCAUCGGAACAUGUCCAUGUCGUGGGGGAUAGCCCGGCGAAAGCCGGAUUAAUACCGCAUACGCUCGAGAGAGGAAAGCCGGGGACCGCAAGGCCUGGCGCGAUUGGGUUGGCCGAUGUCCGAUUAGCUAGUUGGUGAGGCAGAGGCUUACCAAGGCGAUGAUCGGUAGCUGGUCUGAGAGGAUGAUCAGCCACACUGGGACUGAGACACGGCCCAGACUCCUACGGGAGGCAGCAGUGGGGAAUUUUGGACAAUGGGGGCAACCCUGAUCCAGCCAUUCCGCGUGAGUGAAGAAGGCC
rnacentral:rRNA from 1 species